CUUGCGCAAGAGGGUGGGGUUUCUUCCCGCCCCCUUGGCCAGCUGGAAGAGCGGUUACGGGAAUGAAACCCCGGGAUGAUCUUAAAAAACAGGGUGAACCAUAAGGCUAAGGGCCCAACAUGAUUUCCAGGAAAGAAACUAGCUCAGAGAAGGAAACACCUCAGGAGAGCACCAGCUUACUCUUUCCGUGUGAAAAAAUACACUUGUCCCAUGAUCCUCCACAAGGCAGGAGAUGGAGGAAAUAUUGCAGGAGUCUCUAUGCUGAAGUCUUUGUUAACAGCAUGACUAUGGAUGGACAGUGACUGGCAUUUAAUUUUGACGUGAGGAGGGUGGAGAAGCCAGCAAUACUCAGUGCCUCUAUUAAAGUGAAGGGAAAGACACAUGGUGUCUUUUCUUGCUGCCGCUUGUGUAGCUGGGAAUGGGUUGUGGUAAAGUCAAUAAAAUUAUUCAACAUCCGUC